GACGAAGGGGGCUAGCGUUGUUUGGAAUUACUGGGCGUAAAGCGCGUGUAGGCGGUUGUCAAAGUCGGGUGUGAAAGCCUUGAGCUUAACUCAAGAAAUGCACUCGAUACUUGGUGACUAGAGGACCGGAGAGGAUAGUGGAAUUCCCAGUGUAGUGGUGAAAUACGUAGAGAUUGGGAAGAACACCAGUGGCGAAGGCGGCUAUCUGGACGGUUUCUGACGCUAAGACGCGAAAGCGUGGGGAGCAAACAGG
rnacentral:rRNA from 1 species